CUCUUCCGAGGGCAACACGGAUGGUGACCGACGCCGGUUCAUCCAGCAGCCCCCCCCCUUCCCAUGCCGUGGCGAGUAGCCUCCGUCGGGCAAAGCCCGCGGGGAGCCGGCCAUGGUGGGAGAUGCUCUUUUUUGUCGCGAUCGAGGACUACGUGUGGGCACGGGAUCCCACGCUGGGCAGCGACCAGAGUGGUGCAGCUUGCAUCCUCGUUCUCACAGGUGAAGUCGUCGCCAGGCGUGGCUGUCGGUGAGGAUCUGAAGUGGUGGUGACUCUCGAGUGGGUUUGAGACCAUCGAACGAGCGUUCCCUGAUCUGGGGCGUGAUGUGGCCUUGUCGGCUC
rnacentral:lncRNA from 1 species